GGCUGUUUGGUCUAGAGGUUAAGAUUCUGCCUUUGGGCGGUAGAGGCCUGGGUUCGACUCCCAGAACAGCCA
rfam:Perkinsus marinus ATCC 50983 gcontig_1104296790968, whole genome shotgun sequence.